CCUGCGGAGGGAUCAUUACACAAAUAUGAAGGCGGGCUGGAAUCUCUCGGGGUUACAGCCUUGCUGAAUUAUUCACCCUUGUCUUUUGCGUACUUCUUGUUUCCUUGGUGGGUUCGCCCACCACUAGGACAAACAUAAACCUUUUGUAAUUGCAAUCAGCGUCAGUAACAAAUUAAUAAUUACAACUUUCAACAACGGAUCUCUUGGUUCUGGCAUCGAUGAAGAACGCAGCGAAAUGCGAUAAGUAGUGUGAAUUGCAGAAUUCAGUGAAUCAUCGAAUCUUUGAACGCACAUUGCGCCCUUUGGUAUUCCAAAGGGCAUGCCUGUUCGAGCGUCAUUUGUACCCUCAAGCUUUGCUUGGUGUUGGGCGUCUUGUCUCUAGCUUUGCUGGAGACUCGCCUUAAAGUAAUUGGCAGCCGGCCUACUGGUUUCGGAGCGCAGCACAAGUCGCACUCUCUAUCAGCAAAGGUCUAGCAUCCAUUAAGCCUUUUUUCAACUUUUGACCUCGGAUCAGGUAGGGAUACCCGCUGAACUUAAGCAUAUCAAUAANNCGGAGGAA
rnacentral:rRNA from 1 species